UACGGGGGGGCAAGCGUUGUUCGGAAUUACUGGGCGUAAAGGCUCGUAGGCGGCCAACUAAGUCAGACGUGAAAUCCCUCGGCUUAACCGGGGAACUGCGUCUGAUACUGGAUGGCUUGAGGUUGGGAGAGGGAUGCGGAAUUCCAGGUGUAGCGGUGAAAUGCGUAGAUAUCUGGAGGAAUACCGGUGGCGAAGGCGGUUCUCUGGGCCUUACCUGACGCUGGAGGAGCGAAAGCGUGGGGAGCGAACAGG
rnacentral:rRNA from 1 species